rnacentral:rRNA from 1 species
AAGAGAUCGGGAUAACACCUGGAAACAGAUGCUAAUACCGGAUAACAACAGAUGAUGCCUAUCAACUGUUUAAAAGAUGGUUCUGCUAUCACUCUUGGAUGGACCUGCGGUGCAUUAGCUAGUUGGUAGGGUAACGGCCUACCAAGGCGAUGAUGCAUAGCCGAGUUGAGAGACUGAUCAGCCACAUUGGGACUGAGACACGGCCCAAACUCCUACGGGAGGCAGCAGCA